rnacentral:rRNA from 1 species
UGGGGAAUAUUGGACAAUGGGCGCAAGCCUGAUCCAGCCAUGCCGCGUGAGUGAUGAAGGCCCUAGGGUUGUAAAGCUCUUUCACCGGUGAUGAUAAUGACGGUAACCGGAGAAGAAGCCCCGGCUAACUUCGUGCCAGCAGCCGCGGUAAUACGAAGGGGGCUAGCGUUGUUCGGAUUUACUGGGCGUAAAGCGCACGUAGGCGGACUAUUAAGUCAGGGGUGAAAUCCCGGGGCUCAACCCCGGAACUGCCUUUGAUACUGGUAGUCUUGAGUUCGAGAGAGGUGAGUGGAAUUCCGGGUGUAGAGGUGAAAUUCGUAGAUAUUCGGGGGAACACCAGUGGCGAAGGCGGCUCACUGGCUCGAUACUGACGCUGAGGUGCGAAAGCGUGGGGAGCAAACAGG